GCAAGUCGAACGAAGUAGCAAUACUUAGUGGCAGACGGGUGAGUAACAUGUAGGUAUCUACCCUUUGGCCUGGAAUAACACGAGGAAACUUGUGCUAAUACCGGAUAAGUCUUUACGGAGAAAGCUUUAUGCACCAUUGGAUGAGCCUGCACUUGAUUAGUUUGUUGGUAGGGUAAUGGCCUACCAAGACUGUGAUCAAUAGCUGAUUUGAGAGGAUGAUCAGCCACAUUGGGACUGAGACACGGCCCAAACUCCUACGGGAGGCAGCAGUGGGGAAUCUUGCACAAUGGAGGAAACUCUGAUGCAGCGAUGCCGCGUGAGUGAAGAAGGCCCUUGGGUUGUAAAGCUCUUUCGUCGGGGAAGAAAAUGACUGUACCCGAAUAAGAAGGUCCGGCUAACUUCGUGCCAGCAGCCGCGGUAAUACGAAGGGACCUAGCGUAGUUCGGAAUUACUGGGCUUAAAGAGUUCGUAGGUGGUUGAAAAAGUUGGUGGUGAAAUCCCAGAGCUUAACUCUGGAACUGCCAUCAAAACUUUUCAGCUAGAGUUUGAUAGAGGAAAGCAGAAUUUCUAGUGUAGAGGUGAAAUUCGUAGAUAUUAGAAAGAAUACCAAUUGCGAAGGCAGCUUUCUGGAUCAUUACUGACACUGAGGAACGAAAGCAUGGGUAGCGAAGAGGAUUAGAUACCCUCGUAGUCCAUGCCGUAAACGAUGUGUGUUAGACGUUGGAAAUUUAUUUUCAGUGUCGCAGCGAAAGCGAUAAACACACCGCCUGGGGAGUACGACCGCAAGGUUAAAACUCAAAUGAAUUGACGGGGACCCGCACAAGUA
rnacentral:rRNA from 1 species